ACGCCCACGACCUGUGAAGAAGCCCUGGAAUACCCGGGUCAGCUUGCUGUCACGGAAUGGGACUAGGUUUUGCUUGAGCCUGACAAGGAAGAAGAGACAACUGAGUUUUGGGAAGGAUGCUGACCAUUAUGCGAUCUCAAAGUUCCACUCUCAAGAGUAACCAGUAUCCAGUGACAGGCCUUUCCAUCUGGCCACAAGCAAAAUCCAGAGGCCCCGAUUGUCCUUCCUGUGCUUGGGUGCAAGAUCCGGAUAGAGAAAAUGCUGUGGCUGAAGGAUACAAGAAAGAAGCAGGAAUGAGCACAGUGGGCAUUUUCCCUUGACAGGGCUCAAAGGUAUUUUCCAGUAGUGGCUAUGAAUGGACCCUUUUCUCACCUUCGACUGGAGUUCUGGUUCAGUUACUGCCUUUGACCUCCACUCCUCACUACCUUUCACAUAUGGAUGGCCAUUUUGGUCUUCACAUAGCCGGAGGGUCUGCCUCUUCCGCUGCUGGCUGGGGGCCUCCAACAAGUCAAAGAUCAUCUCAUUAU